GUCGAACGGGAUAGAGCUUGCUCUAUCUAGUGGCAAACGGGUGAGUAAUGCACGGGAAUCUACCUUUAGGUAAGGAAUAACCAUGGGAAACUUUGGCUAAUACCUUAUAAUAUGCGCAAGCAUCAAAGAUUUAUCGCCUAAAGAGGAGCUCGUGUCAGAUUAGGUAGUUGGUGGGGUAAAGGCCUACCAAGCCUGUGAUCUGUAGCUGGUCUGAGAGGAUGAUCAGCCACACUGGGACUUAGACACGGCCCAGACUCCUACGGGAGGCAGCAGUGGGGAAUAUUGGACAAUGGGGGAAACCCUGAUCCAGCAAUGCCGCGUGAGUGAAGAAGGCCCUUGGGUUGUAAAGCUCUUUCACCUGUGACGAUAAUGACGGUAACAGGACAAGAAGCCCCGGCUAACUCCGUGCCAGCAGCCGCGGUAAGACGGAGGGGGCUAGCGUUAUUCGGAAUUACUGGGCGUAAAGGGCGUGUAGGCCGUUUUUUAAGCAAGAUGUGAAAGCCUCAAGCUCAACUUGAGAACUGCAUCUUGAACUGAAAAACUAGAGUGCGAAAGGGGAAAGAGGAAUUCCUAGUGUAGGGGUGAAAUCCAUAGAUAUUAGGAAGAACACCAAAGGCGAAGGCAACUUUCUGGUUCGCAACUGACGCUGAGACACGAAAGCGUGGGGAGCAAAUAGGAUUAGAUACCCUAGUAGUCCACGCUGUAAACGAUGAAUGCUAGACGUUGGGGGCUUGCCUCUCAGUGUCGCAGCUAACGCAUGAAGCAUUCCGCCUGGGGAGUACGGUCGCAAGAUUAAAACUCAAAGGAAUUGACGGGGGCCUGCACAAGCGGUGGAGCAUGUGGUUUAAUUCGACGCAACGCGAAAAACCUUACCAGCCCUUGACAUAGGAAUAGAGAGCAUCAGAGAUGAAGCUUGCGGGUUCGGCCGGAUUCCGUACAGGUGCUGCAUGGCUGUCGUCAGCUCGUGUCGUGAGAUGUUGGGUUAAGUCCCGC
rnacentral:rRNA from 1 species